rnacentral:sRNA from 14 species
CAGGACAGGUACAGCACAGGCAAUGACAAUUCAAGCUUUCCCCACACCACCCCAUCCAUGUGCCUCAACCCUGACCUGAAAAAACCACCUCUAGA